AGGUGCAGUUGCAAGUGCAGA
rnacentral:miRNA from 1 species